rnacentral:rRNA from 1 species
AUGGCGGAGCUGAAGCGGCUGUCGGAGAGCCGCGACCUAACCCGCAUCGAGCGCAUAGGCGCGCACUCCCACAUCCGGGGGCUGGGGCUGGACUCCUCCAUCGAGGCCCGCGAUGCCUCGGAGGGGAUGGUCGGCCAGCUCCCCGCGCGCCGCGCCGCUGGACUCAUCCUCCAGCUCAUCCGCCAGGGGAAGAUCGCCGGCCGCGCCGUCCUCCUCGCAGGGCAGCCAGGGACCGGCAAGACCGCCCUCGCCAUGGGCAUCGCCAAGUCGCUCGGCGCCGAGACGCCCUUCGCCUCCGUCGCUGCCUCCGAGCUCUUCUCCCUCGACCUCUCCAAGACCGAGGCGCUCACCCAGGCGUUCCGCCGCGCCAUUGGCGUUCGCAUCAAGGAGGAGGCGGAGAUCAUUGAGGGCGAGGUCGUUGAGAUCUCAAUCGACCGCCCUGUCUCCGCCAGUAGCUCGGGCAUACCUUCAGGUGCUACCGCGGCCGGCAAGACUGGAAGGCUCACGCUGAAGACCACGGACAUGGAGACGGUGUAUGAGCUGGGUGGGAAGAUGAUUGAGGCCCUGGGGAAGGAGAAGGUACAGAGCGGGGAUGUGAUUGCGCUGGACAAGGCCUCCGGGAAGGUUACCAAGCUUGGCCGCUCCAUUGGGAGGUCACGGGAUUAUGAUGCUGUUGGUGCGCACACCAAGUUUGUCAAGUGCCCUGAAGGAGAGCUCCAGAAGCGCAAGGAGGUUAUGCACUGCGUUACCUUACAUGAGAUUGAUGUCAUCAAUAGCAGGACACAAGGCUUCCUUGCACUUUUCACUGGUGACACUGGUGAGAUUCGUGCAGAGGUUAGGGAGCAGAUCGACACAAAAGUUGCCGAAUGGAGAGAGGAAGGGAAGGCUGAGAUCGUCCCUGGCGUUCUGUUUAUCGAUGAAGUCCACAUGCUGGACAUUGAAUGCUUCUCCUUCCUCAACCGUGCUCUGGAGAAUGACAUGGCUCCGAUCCUUGUUAUUGCGACGAAUCGAGGUAUUACAACAAUACGCGGGACCAACUACCGGUCACCACAUGGUAUACCGUCGGAUUUUCUCGACCGCCUCUUGAUCAUCACAACACAACCAUACACGGUGGAGGAGAUCAGGAAGAUCUUAGACAUCAGGUGCGAGGAAGAAGACGUUGAAAUGUCUGCUGAGGGCAAGGAUCUGCUCACAAAGAUUGGCACCGAGACCUCCCUCAGGUACGCAAUCCAGCUGAUCACUUCUGCCGGCCUGGCUUGCCAGAAGCGCAAGGGCAAGGUGGUGGAGAUGGAGGACAUAAGCCGGGUGUACCACCUGUUUCUGGACGUGAAGAGAUCGACGCAGUUCUUGAUCGACAGCCAGAGCGACUACAUGUUCAGUGAAGUGCAAGGGGAUUCAGAUGGGGAUGACGCCAUGCAGUCCUAG